CUGUGGUUAAGUUAAUAAGGGCACACGGUGGAUGCCUUGGCGUUAGGAGCCGAAGAAGGACGCAGCGAACUGCGAUAAGCCUCGGGGAGUGGUAAGCACACUUUGAUCCGGGGAUUUCCGAAUGGGGAAACCCACCAUCUGUAAUGGGAUGGUAUCCUUCACUGAAUACAUAGGUGAUGAGAGGGCAGACCCGGUGAACUGAAACAUCUAAGUAGCCGGAGGAAGAGAAAA
rnacentral:rRNA from 1 species